rnacentral:rRNA from 1 species
AUGCAUUCAUCUCGGGAAGGAGCCUGCACGACAACUACGUCCUCGUCAAGCAAUCACUCAAGCUGCUGCACCAACUGGGAGCUCCGAGAAUUAUGCUCAAGCUCGACCUCACGCGCGCCUUCGACUCCCUAUCAUGGCCUUUCCUCUUUGAGGUGCUGCGCCGGUACGGAUUCGGGAACAGAUUCUUGGAGUGGACGGCCAUCCUCCUGUCCUCUGCCAGCACGCGCAUCCUCCUGA